GACGAACGCUGGCGGCGUGCCUAACACAUGCAAGUCGAACGGUGAAGCGCUUGCCUUUUUGGUGGGUGUGGAUGAGUGGCGAACGGGUGAGUAACACGUGAGUAACCUGCCCUCUUCUUCUGGAUAACCUCAUGAAAGUGGGGCUAAUACGGGGUAUUCCGGGUCUGUCGCAUGGCGGGUUUGGGAAAGAUUGCGCCUUUGGGUGUUUUCGGUGGGGGAUGGGCUCGCGGCCUAUCAGCUUGUUGGUGGGGUGAUGGCCUACCAAGGCGGUGACGGGUAGCCGGCCUGAGAGGGUGGACGGCCACACUGGGACUGAGACACGGCCCAGACUCCGGCGGGAGGCAGCAGUGGGGAAUAUUGCACAAUGGGCGCAAGCCUGAUGCAGCGACGCCGCGUGAGGGAUGGAGGCCUUCGGGUUGUGAACCUCUUUCGCCAGUGAAGCAGGCCUGCUCCUGUGUGGGUGGGUUGACGGUAGCUGGAUAAGAAGCGCCGGCUAACUACGUG
rnacentral:rRNA from 1 species